CUACUGUGAACUCUGCCACUUCAGGUUUGCAGUCGAGCGCAAACCCAGGCCGUUAGUGGAGGUGCAGCAGAUUUGGGGGAAGAUAAGAAAACACCCCUGUCAGGUCUUCAGGCUUUGCCGUCCUCCUCAUUCUUCAUGGAAUGUAUGUUUCUGUGGCGUGCCUCACCACUGCCCGCCUCCUUUCUUGAAGAGAUAGGAACGCUGUGAGAUUGUUUGGGAUAAAGCGGUUUCUUUGCAAUCCAUCAUUACAGAGUUAGAGGGAUAGAUUUACACUGUGAUGGAUAUGUGAGAAGAAGGUUAUGUUGGUGCUUGUAAAACACGAAAGAGAAAUAAUAUGCUUUUGAAGCUUUUAGUUUGGAUACUAAAAAAAAAAGUUUAAUUCUUAGAUGUGCCACUUAUGAAAAUGUAUAAUCUGUUUGUGAAGAUUGAAGUCAGAUUACAAGAAGAAAAUGAAA
rnacentral:lncRNA from 1 species